GCAAGUCGAACGAUGAACCUGGAGCUUGCUCCGGGGGAUUAGUGGCGAACGGGUGAGUAACACGUGAGUAACCUGCCCUUGACUCUGGGAUAACCUCCGGAAACGGAAGCUAAUACCGGAUAUGACGCACGGAGGCAUCUCCUGUGCGUGGAAAGAAUUUCGGUCAAGGAUGGACUCGCGGCCUAUCAGGUAGUUGGUGAGGUAACGGCUCACCAAGCCUACGACGGGUAGCCGGCCUGAGAGGGUGACCGGCCACACUGGGACUGAGACACGGCCCAGACUCCUACGGGAGGCAGCAGUGGGGAAUAUUGCACAAUGGGCGAAAGCCUGAUGCAGCAACGCCGCGUGAGGGAUGACGGCCUUCGGGUUGUAAACCUCUUUUAGUAGGGAAGAAGCGAAAGUGACGGUACCUGCAGAAAAAGCACCGGCUAACUACGUGCCAGCAGCCGCGGUAAUACGUA
rnacentral:rRNA from 1 species